rnacentral:rRNA from 1 species
UACAGAGGGGGCGAGCGUUGUUCGGAAUUACUGGGCGUAAAGGGCGCGUAGGCGGCCUGCUAAGUCGAACGUGAAAUCCCUGGGCUCAACCCAGGAACUGCGUCCGAUACUGGUUGGCUUGAAUCCGGGAGAGGGAUGUGGAAUUCCAGGUGUAGCGGUGAAAUGCGUAGAUAUCUGGAGGAACACCGGUGGCGAAGGCGGCAUCCUGGACCGGUAUUGACGCUGAGGCGCGAAAGCCAGGGGAGCAAACGGG